GACGAACGCUGGCGGCGUGCUUAACACAUGCAUGUCGUACGGUAAGGCCCUUUCUGGUGUACACGCGUGGCGAACGGGUGAGUAACAAGUGCGUAACCUACCCACAACUUUGGGAUAACGCUAGGAAACUGGUGCUAAUUCUGGCUAUGUAAUCCUGCUGCAUGGUGGGGGUUGGAGAGCUCGGGCGGUUGGUGAUGUACUCGCGGCCUAUCAGCUUGUUGGUGGGGUAGUGGCCUACCAAGGCGGCGCCGGGUAGCCGGCCUGAGAGGGUGACCGGAAACAGUGGGACUGGGAUACGGCCCAGACGCCGACGGGAGGCAGCAGUGGGGAAUAUUGCACAAGGGGCGCAAGCCAGAUGCAGCAACGCCGCGGGCGGGAGGACGGCCUUCGGGUUGUAAACCGCGUUCAGCAGGGACGAAGCUUUUUGUGACGGUACCUGCAGAAGAAGCACCGGCUAACUACGUG
rnacentral:rRNA from 1 species